rnacentral:rRNA from 1 species
CACGUAGGGGGCGAGCGUUGUCCGGAUUCAUUGGGCGUAAAGGGUGCGUAGGUGGCGCCGUAAGUCAGGUGUGAAAUUUCGGAGCUUAACUCCGAAACUGCAUUUGAUACUGCGGUGCUUGAGGACUGGAGAGGAGACUGGAAUUCACGGUGUAGCAGUGAAAUGCGUAGAUAUCGUGAGGAAGACCAGUGGCGAAGGCGGGUCUCUGGACAGUUCCUGACACUGAGGCACGAAGGCCAGGGGAGCAAACGGG